GAUGAACGCUAGCGGCAGGCCUAAUACAUGCAAGUCGAACGAUACCAAUGGGCUUGCUCAUUGGGAAAGUGGCGCACGGGUGCGUAACGCGUAUGCAACCUACCUUAAUCAGGGGGAUAGCCCGAAGAAAUUCGGAUUAACACCGCAUAAAAGCACAGUACAGCAUUGUACAAUGUUCAAAUAUUUAUAGGAUUAAGAUG
rnacentral:rRNA from 1 species